rnacentral:lncRNA from 1 species
UCCUUGUACUGUAUUCUGAACCAAGAUCUGGAAGCCCUCCAACAUUUUCAAAACAGAACUGCUUAUUAAUAUAGAGAAAAAGAAGCAGCAUCAGGAUAAUAAACACCCAAACAGCUGACAAAAACCCAACUGCCUCUGGAGAUACUUUUCUAAAACAGCCAGAACAGGAAUGCUGCUGGAAGAGCAAGAAUGAAAAUCAUCACAUAAAUUUGGGCCAUCCUGGUGAUGUCAGGAUCCACUUAAGAGCAGGAAGAUGCUGUCAGUAUUGAGAAAGAUGGCCCAGCAAGGAAAACAGCACAGCAUCAAGAUAAGGAUUCCUCUUUGAAGAAAGCUUCCUGCUGACUCAAAAGGAUUUUUCUUCUUCUGAACUCCUAUUAUGGGAAUGGAUGAAAUCACUUACAGAGCCACAGAAGGAAACAAAGCAAAGCCAGGAUCAUGAGUUGGAUUAUCUGGAGGCCUAGGCCAAUGGGGAGUUAUUGCUUGCAGUCACUGAUCAAGCAAAUAAACUUUUCCUUCUUUCUUAUGAAAUUUAUUUAAGAAGCUGAAAUUACUUAAAUGAUAAUGAGUUGUGAGAAAAGAAUUGUAGUAGAUAUUUGUUCUCUAUCCAAAUUGCACUGAGUGGGGAGGUGUACCCAUACCCCAGCUUCGAGAAUUGACUGAUAACAGUUCACACCUGCACUUCUCCAGAGAAUUGUCCUUGUCUGACCUGAGCACCUUGUUUAGUAAUGUCUGGUAGGCUAUGCUCCACCUUCCCUGGGCAGAUCCACUGGUCUAAGACAAACAACCCAACCCUCUAAUUUCUGGGAAGAAUCACCUCCGUGAUUAAUCUAAGCUCCAGAUCUCCCAGAGAAAUCAUGCUGAGGCUACAUUUGUGAAACUACAUUUUUAUCUAGCUUCUUCCUUUGCCCUUUCCUGCUGUCCUCACUUCCUUAUGAAUUUUUUUCUGAAAGAUCUUGAUUAAUAAAUUAUUUAAUCAAGAUCCCCCAGUCAUAAGUUCUGUGUUUUGGAAUAUAACCUAUACAAAAAUAAAUUAAUUGGUACUAGAUAAUGCUCCGCUAUGCAUCUAUUUCAAUGUCUAUUCUUUGGAAGUUCUGUCAUCACACAUCCCCAAGUUUUAGAUAAGGUUUUUAGCUAACAGCCAGGAAAAGAUUCAAUAAACUUAAAAGAAAAAGUGUUUUUAAAUGUAAUAUUUUUUGUCUCUAAAGAAGUUUUUGUAUUGCAAAUGUUAAUCUCUUAAAAUAGAGGGGAACGAAGAAUGAAAAAAGAAAUAUUUUUAAGAUGUCCUUUUAAAACAUAGUCCCUCAAGCUAGUUGUUGUAGUUUUAGAAUAUAAAGAGCCCAGUAAAGAUGGUUUCAGUGAGAAGCUAUUAUUAAGAAAUGAGACUAGAAAGUUUUGGAGUCAAUAUCUGUAGCCUUUUGAUACUGAAAAUUCUGCAUAGUGGAUGGGAGUCAUGAGAAUUUUCCAGUCUUUAUUUUGGAAAUCUCUUACCUAUCCAACUAUAAUAACUGUCAUGUCAUUUAUAGUAUUAUCUUUUUGGAUUGUCCUGAGCAUUCAGUUCCAAAGUGAAGUCAAUGUAUCAUAGAACAUAUGGAAAAAUUCCAGAACUCAUGUUUAUAUUUAUUUUUAUCUAAACAAACAAUUUUUUACAGCAUUGGCUUUGAGGUGUGGAAUCUUAGCAGAAGUACAUUAAUUACUGGAUGCU